rnacentral:piRNA from 1 species
UUCUUUCUGGAUCACGUACGCACAUCA